UUCUUAUUAGUUUAAUGGUAAAAUAAGAUAUUCCUAAUAUCCUGAUCUAAGUUCGAGUCUUGGAUAAGAAU